rnacentral:rRNA from 1 species
GGAUGUGGGAUUGCACAGACAACCAGGAUGUUGGCUUAGAAGCAGCCACGAAUUCAAAGAGUGCGUAAUAGCUCACUGGUCGAGUGAUCCUGCGCCGAAGAUUUCCGGGGCUAAAACUUACUACCGAAGCUACGGCAUCAGUAAUGAUGGGUAGGGGAGCUUCCCAUACGGGUUGAAGCAUGACCGUAAGGAAAUGUGGACAGUAUGGGAGUGAGAAUGUUGGCAUGAGUAGCGAGAUGUGGGUGAGAAUCCCACAGGCCGUAAACCCAAGGUUUCCAGGGGAAGGUUCGUCCGCCCUGGGUUAGUCGGGACCUAAGCUGAGGCCGAAAGGCGUAGG